rnacentral:rRNA from 1 species
UACGAGGGGGGCGAGCGUUGUUCGGAAUUAUUGGGCGUAAAGGGUGCGUAGGCGGUUUGGUAAGUCUGAUGUGAAAUCUAUGGGCUCAACUCAUAGUCUGCAUCGGAAACUGGCGGGCUUGAAUAUGGAAGAGGGUCGCGGAAUUCCCGGUGUAGAGGUGAAAUUCGUAGAUAUCGGGAGGAACACCAGUGGCGAAGGCGGCGGCCUGGGCCAAUAUUGACGCUGAGGUGCGAAAGCGUGGGGAGCAAACAGG